AAGAAAAAGAGUUUACUUCAUCUUAAGUGCUAGGUCUAGACAAUUUUCUCCCGUUACUAGGAUGUUUUACAACACAUGUAAUUGAUCCUAUUGGAGCUAAGUUUCAGAUCUUCCGAAAGCUUAGCGAGAACAUUGAAGAACUAGAAAACAGAAGAAGGAAGCUAAAACCAUUCCGAUCGUGCACUAAAACCAUGCUGUCACUCUCUCAUAUUGUCAUAUAGUAUGUGUAAGCCCAGCCUUUUCCACUAUAAUUGUAGAGUUCUAUAUAUACAGGAAAAAAAAAUUGAAAAUAAGAGAAGAAGAGGAAAAGGAUGACAAUGAUGAUAAUGAUAAUGGAGAAGAAAGAUGAAAAAGAAGGGUUUACUUCAUUUUGAGUGCCAGGACUAGGUAUGUAUCAUCAUAUCCUUCAAUUUUUUUUGUGGAAGAAAUGUUUUUAUGUGAACUACCAUAAUUCACGGCCAUAUGCCAUCCCAUUUUGCAUUGGCCAUCUCUUCAUUAAGUGAUUGUUGAUAGCUAUCCUAAGUUGGGGAGAUUUCCAUUUGGAGCAUAGCAUGCAUAUAAGGUAUCAAUUAUCGAAAAGAAAUCGGUAAGAGCAAUAAGACCAAAUAUAUUUGUUAUUUUUUUAUUCUUUUUUGCUAAUUGUUUUUCCUUUUCUUUUCCUUCCUUUUGAUCAAAUAAGUUUCAUUUUAUGCAAAAGAUUACCUUCUCCUAACCGUUAUUAAUUUGUUGUGCAUCAUAGCAGGGAAAGUCUAUUAGUUUGAUUAAAUAUUACUUAUUUACUUAUAUCAUACUUAUAUUCUUGCUUGGUUAAUCCGUUUUUGAGGGUCAACUUUUUGAAAACCUGGUAUUUCAUAUAUAGAAUAAACUUGUUGGGCUGGUUCUAUAUUAGUAAUAACUUGCAGGAUACUUAAAACUUCUCUGACAUGUUUUACACACCUUUUCUAAUCCUUCACAUGUUCAAUUUUGAUAGAGAGGAUUUAGUUCCUUAAAGUAUGAACCUCCCUCCCCCCCUCCAUAUCCAUUCCCUAGGCUUACUUAUUUUAUUUUAUUUAAAAAUUAAUAUAAUCUCUUUGAGCUCCUAUGACACUUAUACUAUAUCUCUUAUUUAUCCUAAAAAUAUCAAGAUUCAUAGUUGAGACAAGUUAACUAUAAAUCUAACAUUAAUGUAUCACUCUCACUUGACAAUAGAUCCUCAUUUAAUCUAUUUGGUCAGCUAUUCUUUGCCCCAAAAACUCAUUUGUUAACCCAAAAUCUUUUCCCGAGUAGGUUUCAAGCAAUCCAACACAAACUCACACUCUCUCUCUUAAAUUUAUGUAGUAUAUAUAUUUUGUUUUUGCUAAGAAUGUAGUAUAUGUAAACUUCAACCUUGUCCACUCUAAUUGUAGAGCUCUAUCUAUGUAGGAAGAAGAGAAAGAAAAAGAAGAAGAAGAUAAUGAUCAUGAAGAUGAUGAAGAAGAAAAAGAAGUAUUAUAAUCAUCUUUAGUGCUAAGACUUGUUGCUGCCCCUGGGGGCUUCUUAAGGUUUUCAUAUAUGAAUGGAGAAGGAUAACAAAUUAUGAUAGGACAAUUGGCGGCAACAAUUCGUCAAAUAGAGAUGGGAAGAAUAAGAGAAGAUUGUUGGCCAUGGUAGGAUUCAGAAUCAUCCUAGGUAUUCAUUGGGCAGCUCUCCUCCAAGUUCGCCAUGAUUGAUGUUACGGCCCCUGUGGUUAAAUCCGUCUGAUU